CCUACGGGAGGCAGCAGUGGGGAAUAUUGGACAAUGGGCGAAAGCCUGAUCCAGCCAUGCCGCGUGUGUGAAGAAGGCCUUCGGGUUGUAAAGCACUUUCAGUGGGGAAGAAAGCCUUGGGGCUAAUACCCUCGAGGAAGGACAUCACCCACAGAAGAAGCACCGGCUAACUCCGUGCCAGCAGCCGCGGUAAUACGGAGGGUGCGAGCGUUAAUCGGAAUUACUGGGCGUAAAGCGCGCGUAGGCGGUCUGAUAAGCCGGUGUGAAAGCCCCGGGCUCAACCUGGGAACGGCAUCCGGAACUGUCAGGCUAGAGUGCAGGAGAGGAAGGUAGAAUUCCCGGUGUAGCGGUGAAAUGCGUAGAGAUCGGGAGGAAUACCAGUGGCGAAGGCGGCCUUCUGGACGGACACUGACGCUGAGGUGCGAAAGCGUGGGUAGCAAACAGGAUUAGUACCCCUGUAGUC
rnacentral:rRNA from 1 species